rnacentral:rRNA from 1 species
UACGUAGGGUGCAAGCGUUAAUCGGAAUUACUGGGCGUAAAGCGUGCGCAGGCGGUUUUGUAAGUCUGACGUGAAAUCCCCCGGGCUCAACCUGGGAAUUGCGUUGGAGACUGCAAGGCUGGAGUCUGGCAGAGGGGGGUAGAAUUCCACGUGUAGCAGUGAAAUGCGUAGAGAUGUGGAGGAACACCGAUGGCGAAGGGCAGCCCCCUGGGUCAAGACUGACGCUCAUGCACGAAAGGCGUGGGGAGCAAACGAGG